UCGAGAAUAUUCGACAAUGGGCGAAAGCCUGAUCGAGCGACGCCGCGUGCAGGAAGAAGUGGCUUUGCCAUGUAAACUGCUUUUGCGUAGGAAAAAUUUUGAUUGUACUACGAGAAUAAGGGGUUGCUAACCUCGUGCCAGCAGCAGCGGUAAUACGAGGACCCCGAGCGUUAUCCGGAAUUACUGGGCGUAAAGAGCGAGUAGUCGGUUUUGCUAGUCGAAUGUUAAAUCUCCCGGCUUAACUGGGAAACCGCAUUCGAAACGGCAUCACUAGAGUCGGCGAGAGGUAUGCGGAACGUGCGGUGUAGGGGUGAAAUCCAUUGAUAUCGCACGGAACACCAAAAGCGAAGGCAGCAUACUAGUACCGUACUGACGAUAAAUUGCUAAAGCGUGGGGAUCA
rnacentral:rRNA from 1 species